rnacentral:antisense_RNA from 1 species
GUGUCUGCUCCCUCCUCCCACAACCCUACACACCUAGCUGAGACCCUUCAGGACCGGCGGAGCUGCUGCGGGGCCGGGCCGUGGCGGGACUGGGGCCUUUCUUUGUGUCCUCUGCGUCGCUGUAGCACCGCACCCAGUGGUUGAGCUCCUCGCGGUCGGCCUCCUGGCACCGGCGUAGCACCGUGAGCGAGCGCCGCGUCUUCUCCACCAUGUCCAUGAUACAGUUCAAGCGAGGGCAGCCUUCAGCGCCUCGGAGGGACCAGGACGCACCAGACGCUCCCCCAGCCCACUCGGCCAGAGCCCUGGACAGGAUGGGUGCCCGACCAGCCCACCACCCAUGAGGGUUCCAGGACUGAAGCCGCACAGGCCACUCCCACAGGUCACCAGAAACUAAG